rnacentral:rRNA from 1 species
AGUGAACGCUGGCGGUAGGCCUAACACAUGCAAGUCGAACGGCAGCACAGUAAGAGCUUGCUCUUACGGGUGGCGAGUGGCGGACGGGUGAGGAAUACAUCGGAAUCUACUUUUUCGUGGGGGAUAACGUAGGGAAACUUACGCUAAUACCGCAUACGACCUACGGGUGAAAGCAGGGGAUUUUCGGACCUUGCGCGAUUGAAUGAGCCGAUGUCGGAUUAGCUAGUUGGCGGGGUAAAGGCCCACCAAGGCGACGAUCCGUAGCUGGUCUGAGAGGACGAUCAGCCACACUGGAACUGAGACACGGUCCAGACUCCUACGGGAGGCAGCAGUGGGGAAUAUUGGACAAUGGGCGCAAGCCUGAUCCAGCCAUACCGCGUGGGUGAAGAAGGCCUUCGGGUUGUAAAGCCCUUUUGUUGGGAAAGAAAAGCAGCAGGUUAAUACCCCGCUGUUCUGACGGUACCCAAAGAAUAAGCACCGGCUAACUUCGUG